rnacentral:lncRNA from 1 species
AUUGUCGACAUGACUAUUUUUACUUUUUACAUAUUUUAUUAAUGACUUUUUGGAUACUUUGAAAAGAACAUAAUAUGAUACAGUAUUUUUUUAACAUAAUUAAGAUUUAAUAAAUUGAUAAUCAAGAAAAGGAUGUUUGGGCUAGCCAUGUUAAACUGAGAAUAGCCUGGCCAUAAGUAGGAUAUGGUACUGAGAAUAGCCCGUCAUAGAUAGGAACAUGACAUCGAAAAUAGCCUGCCAUAGAUAGAUAUAUGGUAUCGAGAAUAGUCUACUAUGAGCAGAUAUAUGGUACCAAAAAUAGCCCAUCAUGGAUAGAUAAGUGAUAUUUGAGUUUGCUACUAUGGGCUGAAGCAUGGAUAUUCUUGGUUGCCACCACAAACUGAAGCAUGGUUAUUCUAAUUUGCCACCCC